rnacentral:rRNA from 1 species
UAGGGAAUCUUCGGCAAUGGACGAAAGUCUGACCGAGCAACGCCGCGUGAGUGAAGAAGGUUUUCGGAUCGUAAAACUCUGUUGUUAGAGAAGAACAAGGACGUUAGUAACUGAACGUCCCCUGACGGUAUCUAACCAGAAAGCCACGGCUAACUACGUGCCAGCAGCAGCGGUAAUACGUAGGUGGCAAGCGUUGUCCGGAUUUAUUGGGCGUAAAGCGAGCGCAGGCGGUUUCUUAAGUCUGAUGUGAAAGCCCCCGGCUCAACCGGGGAGGGUCAUUGGAAACUGGGAGACUUGAGUGCAGAAGAGGAGAUUGGAAUUCCAUGUGUAGCGGUGAAAUGCGUAGAUAUAUGGAGGAACACCAGUGGCGAAGGCGGCUCUCUGGUCUGUAACUGACGCUGAGGCUCGAAAGCGUGGGGAGCAAACAGG